GACGAACGCUGGCGGCGUGCUUAACACAUGCAAGUCGAACGGAAAGGCCCUGCUUUUUGGGGGUGCUCGAGUGGCGAACGGGUGAGUAACAAGUGAGUAACCUGCCCUUGACUUUGGGAUAACUUCAGGAAACUGGGGCUAAUACCGGAUAGGAGCUCCUGCUGCACGGUGGGGGUGGGAAAGUUUCGGCGGUUGGGCCUGGACGCGCGGCUUAUCAGCUUGUUGGUGGGGUAGUGGCUUACCAAGGCUUGGAAGGGUAGCCGGACUGAGAGGGUGACCGGCCCCAGUGGGCCUGGGGUACGAGCCGUACGGCAACGUGCGGCAUGGGCGGAAGACUGUCCGCGCUACGCCGAAGCCGGAUGGAGCACCUCCGCGUUCUGAAUGUCGGUCUACGGGUUGUAAACCGCUUCUUCCGGUUACGAAGCGGGAGUGACGGUAACGGGUAAAGAAGCAACGGCUAACUACGUG
rnacentral:rRNA from 1 species